rnacentral:lncRNA from 1 species
CUGCAGCUGUGCACGGCUCACCGGGUCCCUCCCAGCCCCAAGCUGCACGCGCCGGGGAUCCCCGCCUGACAGUUUUGGUCCCUGAUAUGCAACUGCAGAGCUCCAUGUCAUGCGGGCCUCUGAGAGCAUCCCCUGGCAUUUUUGAAGUCUCGAUGGCUAGGAGAGAGAAAACCUCAGUUUGGUUCCACUGCUCCUUAAUGAAGUCUAACUCUCAGAUUCAGAAGACCACUGCUCUAGGCAGGAUGUGGCUUAACAGCCGUUCCCAUAAGCUCAAUGUAUGUCAGUGAUGUGAUGUGUUUGCCAGAAAAGCCAAUGUAUCAACAGAAGCACAGUGAGGUAAAUGGUUCCUUUCUCCUCAGUACACAUCAGACAGGCUUAACCUCACUUCAGAUCCAAGCAUCACAUCUGAAGACAUGAGGUUUGUUCAGGUGAGAUACACGAAGGUGAGAGCUUAAAACCUGUUAAGUAGAGGGAGGUGGCUUAAAGAGCUGUCUGUCAGAGACUAGGCUGAACGCUCACUGCUUCUGCUUCCUCUUCCUGUAUACAUAGGAAAACUACCUUUCCCAGCCUCCCUUGCAGUUGGGUUGGACCAUGUGACUGGAAUCUGGCCAAUGGUGUGUGAGUAGUAGGGAUAGCAACUGCUUCCAGACUUGGCAACAGAUGCCCUGAGAGAUUUUCUUUGUGCUACUUCCCCUACCUGUGUGGCUGGAAGGAAAAGACCCCAAGAUGCUGGAACCUCUUGAUGGAAGGAUACUGAAUCACUGCUGCCACUUGGAUGAAGACUCACCAGAACUAGCAGCCUCUCAUUGGACUUUGCAUGAACAGGAGACAAACUUUUCUUGUUUGAAGGCACUGUGAUUUGGGAGGGUAUAUUCAUUAUUUUGGUAUAAUGCAGCUUUGUCUAAUACAAACUUGGAAGGCUUAAUACUGAGAACUAGGAUUAGAAAAUUGUCUUUAGAUGCCAGUACCUGAAGGACCAUGUGUCCCAGAGGCACAGUUUAUGUGCUCUAAGGACAGUGGGGAAAGUAGUUCCACUUUGGCUCAUUAGGAGUUAAGAUCUUCUCCCCAACCCUGGCAUGACUUACUUUGAUUAGUAGCAAAUUGGUGUCAUUAGUGGUAUUUGCUCAGAAACUAGACCAUCGUUUGGGGGGGAGGGGAUAUACCUGGGAUAAUUCAAUGGAGAGAAAAUUGGAUAUUAUGACCUCUAUGGUUCAUUCCAGCACAACUAUCUAAUGUCUAAUCUAGCAGUGUCCUGAUAGUUGUUGAAUUAAAGCAGUUGGAAUUGAA